UACGAAGGGGGCUAGCGUUGCUCGGAAUCACUGGGCGUAAAGCGCACGUAGGCGGCUUUCUAAGUCAGGGGGGAAAUCCUGGAGCUCAACUCCAGAACUGCCCUUGAUACUGAGGAGCUUGAGUCCGGGAGAGGUGAGUGGAACUGCGAGUGUAGAGGUGAAAUUCGUAGAUAUUCGCAAGAACACCAGUGGCGAAGGCGGCUCACUGGCCCGGUACUGACGCUGAGGUGCGAAAGCGUGGGGAGCAAACAGG
rnacentral:rRNA from 1 species